CUUCCCGGGGAAACUCGAGUCCUGAAUUUCCUCGGAGCGCUCCCCGGCGGCCGCGGCCAACGGAUGUGACGAGGCGCAUCUGAUACCGAGGAAAGUUUCGGGAACCCUUAAAGGGGCAGCGAGGGCCUGGCUGGGCUCCGGGCCCGGCGCGCCAGGGAGCGCGCAGCGGCGGGGCGCCCCGGCAUCGCGGGGCUCGGAGAGCAGAGGGGGAGCCGCCCGCGCGCCGGGGGCCUCACGGAGUCGGGAGUCCGCCUCCCCUCGUCAGAGGCGGGCGCCCUGCUUCAGCCGCCUUCCCGCGCGCCGACACCCCCUCCUGCCCAGUUCGUGCCCAUCCCUCCUCCCCCACCCCAUUUACGGCCCCUGAGCUAUUCUGAAGAGGUCUGGGUGGAGGCUGGGGUCCACGGGCUCGGGGAGGCAGGCGAGCGGGCGAGACUUCGGAGCCUUCUCCCCACAAGUCCCGGGGACCGAACGCUCGGCCUGCUGGUGCUGCCCCCCAAGCCCUCGGUCCCGGCGCGCACGAUGCCGGCUCGGAAGGCGGCGUCCGCAGCUGGCUUUGAGCGUGGAUUUCUCAGCCCUCAAUGCAGACAUUUAGGUUGGAAGGAGCAAAUCAAAACCAAGCUGGGCCUCCUCUGGGAAGACUGACUCCAGGUCUGGGGCAGAAAUGGAGCAGGGUGACCUGGGAACAUCCUGUCAUCCCAGAAAGCAAGAAUGUCACCAAGGACAUUCUUGGGCACUGGCUGCGGCAGAGCUGGGACCACUGAAGCAUCAUUAAGAGUAGGAACUGUAAUGGCUCAGAACACCUCAAUUAUGUUGAAACCUCUUCGUUCAUAAUGUUCUCUUAAAAUGUACAUUGUCUUAGAAGAAUGCUAAGGAGCCCAAAGCACUGUUUUUUGAAAACUGGCUGAAAAAAGAAAGCAUGACACAUUUAUUAUCCUAAUUUUCUGCACAAACUAUAGCUCAGUAUAACCAAGUAUUGAGGAAGGGAAAUUUCUCCUCGUAGCAGUAUUGCAGCUAGUGGAGGAAGGGCUGGAGGCACUAGAACAUGGCCAUCGUGCUGCAUCUAAGGAGCCCAUGGACCUAGGCACUGAGCACAUGUGGUCGAUGCACCACACACACAAAAGAAAGAGACCUCCCACCCUUCUGUGUGCCCUGAUGGAAGCCCACAGUGCUACCUGUGAAAUGCUCUUACCCCCAAAAUCAAACCUGAAUCUGACUGGGCCUCUAUAUCACAGGUUGGCAGAUGACAGACAUCCUGUUGGCAAAUCUGGCCUGCUUGCUUGUUUUUUAAAUAAAGCUUUACUGAAACACAGCCAUACCCAUUUGUUUUAGUAGCAGCAGCUGAAAUCAUACGGGCCUCGAAACCUAAAAUGUCCACUGCCUAACCCUUUAUAGAAAAGUUUACCAACUCCUGCUACACAUCAACAGUCCCCAAACCCUUAUCAAUCAAUUGUCAUAUAGGAACCUUAUUUGUAUCCUGAUUCAAACAAAAUGAAAAAGUUACUGAUGAGACAAUUAGAGAAAUUUAAACACUG